CGUACUACUAGUAAAAAACGUGCGAGCUGUUUUCUUAUCACUCGACGGCGUUCCUAUCUCGCCAUUGCGGAGGCGGCGGCGGCGACGACACCGGAGGGACGAUGAGGAGGCGGCGGCAGCGACGACGUCGGAGGGACGAGGAGGAGGCGAUGGCUACCUCUCUCACGCGUGGAGUAUUUCCCUUUCCCUCUCGCACGCGGCAACGAUCUGGAGGCGACGUGGGCUCUACAAAGGUCCGGCGCAAGCUCGGCGGCGACAACGGACUUCUCCUACGCCCCUCUCCACAAGCGGCGGCCCUCCCGCCGGGGGGAGCAGGGGAAGAGGAAGAGAGACCAAUGAAUGAAAUGAAAGAAAUAUGGGGAGCUUGUGUAGUACCUGCAGGGGAGGGGGUUAUGGUGGGCUUGUUCGGUUAAUCCCUUCUCCAAGGAGAUUGGAGGUGUUUGAAGGGGAUUGGGGAGGAUUCUGACUUACAAGGGAUUUAAUCCUUCACAAACCCCUUCAAUCCCCCUCAGAUCAAAUGCCGGAGCGGAGAGGUGGCGGGGGAGGCCAUGUGAAUUCAGUAUCAAACUGUGGAGUAGGAUGAACAACACUACAGCAUCAAACUUCGAUUCUGUUGAGAUCAAUUUUUGUUUCUCAUGGGGCAUGUGAAUACUCUCUGUGAUUUUGAUUUUCUGUAAAAUUCGCCGUCAAAAAAUUGCACGAAUUUGCAACCUUGUAGCUAUAAAUGAUGCUUCUCAAUUAACUGAAUGUUAGUAAUGUUGUACAUAAAGAACCAGCCUGUACCUAGGUGAUAGUACUAAUUCUCUAUGAAUUUGUUAAUGGAAAUACGUACAAACUUACGAGCUUCAAAUCAGAGCGGAAUUUUGUUUACACGAAAUUUAGUUUUAUGCUAUUCUUAAGAUAAGAUUCGAAGUGAUGACACCAGCUUUGUGUUUUGUGAAUUUAUUAGGCAAAUGAGGAUUGAAAUUCUGCCAAGAAAUCUCAGAGCAGAAGAUGUAUGCAAGGGACUUGGAGACGAGGCAAUGCUGCGCAGACAAGAAAAUGGCAAUUUGGAGCAAUUCGUGGUUACUACCGGUCUCGAGUUAGAUUUAUUUCAAUUGCAAUGAGGAACUUGUAUCCAAACCUGCUAUUCCCAACUGGUGUGUUUAUAGGUUGCAGUGUUAGUGGUGGUCUCCUCCUGAUGGAGCUCUGUAUAUGCCCUUCUUGUUUAGCUCAAAAUCUUUUCUCUCCUAAGGUCUUGUCAGAAUCUUCCUUUUUUUCUUAAGAAGCAUGCUAUCAAUGGACAACAGAUGUUGCAGCACCAAAAAGUUGGUGACCAUGCUUGGGUGUUUCAGAGCACAUAUGAAAAACAUUUAUUUUUUACUUUCAUGGAUUGCACAAUUCAUUCAUUCAUGAAGAAUGAGAUGAUUGUCCCCUCAAAAAAAAAAAAAGAGAAUGAGAUGAUUGCUUAGUCUUGCAAUUUCUAGUA